UGCCAGCUCUCCGAGUGGUGUGGAUGUUUAUUGGGCCUAAAGCAUCCGUAGCUGGCUGGACAAGUCCCCUGUUGAAUCCACCGAUUUAAUCGUUGGUGUGCGGGGGAUACUGUUCGGCUAGGGGACGGGAGAGGCAGACGGUAUUUUCGGGGUAGGGGUGAAAUCCUAUAAUCCCGGGAAGACCACCAGUGGCGAAGGCUGUCUGCUAGAACGCGCCCGACGGUGAGGGAUGAAAGCUGGGGGAGCGAACCGGAUUAGAUACCCGGGUAGUCCCAGCUGUAAACGAUGCAGGCUAGGUGUUUGGACGGCCACGUGCCGUUCUAGUGCCGCAGGGAAGCCGUUAAGCCUGCCGCCUGGGGAGUACGGCCGCAAGGCUGAAACUUAAAGGAAUUGGCGGGGGAGCACCACAAGGGGUGAAGCUUGCGGUUU
rnacentral:rRNA from 1 species